AUCGAAUGUGGAAGGGCAAAAAUCCUUGUCCAAAAAGAAGAAACGAACUUUUCUAAGAUCAAAAGGUGGUGACGGGUCCAUCUUGGGGGAUGUGAAAGACGUAAAGGUGGUGACCGGUUCAUCUCUGUAAAUUUGUAAAUCUGCCCAGAAUUAUUUUCUACUAAAAUUCAGUUAUGCUAGUAUUCAUUACAAGAAACAAAUUUGAUCUUCGGUUCUUUGAUUGAACAAAUAAAUUCCUAAAUCCAAUCCGCCGAUGAGACCCAUCAUCCUCAAGAGAUUGAAACUUAUCUGAAACUGAAACACCACUAAAGUACAAGCCAAGAAAAAGAAACCCAGAAUCCAGUUCACGUGGGAGGAGGAGGCCAUUGCCCUUCUCAAGCAACCUGAACGAUUCCUUCGAAGUUCGAGCAAAGGGAUUUUUCCCUUUUCAAACGAAAAAGAAGAAGACGAAUCGAAAACUUACAAAGGGAACAAUCUUCAUCCUUCUCUUGAUCUUUCGAUGAAAAAGGAAAAGAGGAAUUCAUAAAUAAAACAAAUAUGACCAAGUGGAAAAGAAAUUCAGAAAGGCAGCAGAACAUAAAAGGUUUAUUGGAUUUUGUGUUGACAGUUGAAAUUUUUUUAAUUAAAAAAAUAGAGAAA
rnacentral:lncRNA from 1 species